UGGGGAAUAUUGGACAAUGGGCGCAAGCCUGAUCCAGCCAUACCGCGUGGGUGAAGAAGGCCUUCGGGUUGUAAAGCCCUUUUGUUGGGAAAGAAAUCCAGCUGGCUAAUACCCGGUUGGGAUGACGGUACCCAAAGAAUAAGCACCGGCUAACUUCGUGCCAGCAGCCGCGGUAAUACGAAGGGUGCAAGCGUUACUCGGAAUUACUGGGCGUAAAGCGUGCGUAGGUGGUCGUUUAAGUCCGUUGUGAAAGCCCUGGGCUCAACCUGGGAACUGCAGUGGAUACUGGGCGACUAGAGUGUGGUAGAGGGUAGCGGAAUUCCUGGUGUAGCAGUGAAAAUGCGUAGAGAUCAGGAGGAACAUCCAUGGCGAAGGCAGCUACCUGGACCAACACUGACACUGAGGCACGAAAAGCGUGGGGAGCAAAACAGGAUUAGAUACCCUGGUAGUCCACGCCCUAAACGAUGCGAACUGGAUGUUGGGUGCAAUUUUGGCACGCAGUAUCGAAGCUAACGCGUUAAGUUCGCCGCCUGGGGAGUACGGUCGC
rnacentral:rRNA from 1 species